UUUCCGUAGGUGAACCUGCGGAAGGAUCAUUACAUUCAGUAGCUCAGCUACUUGUUUACACCCUUGUCUUUUUGCGUACUUAUCGUUUCCUCGGCGGGCUUGCCUGCCGGUGGACGAUUAAUAACCUUAUGUAAUUGCAAUCAGCGUCAGUAACGAUAAAAUUAUUACAACUUUCAACAACGGAUCUCUUGGUUCUGGCAUCGAUGAAGAACGCAGC
rnacentral:misc_RNA from 1 species